AAAGGAAUAGACGGGGACCCGCACAAGCAGUGGAGUAUGUGGUUUAAUUCGAAGCAACGCGAAGAACCUUACCAGGUCUUGACAUCCCUCUGACCGCUCUAGAGAUAGGGCUUUCCUUCGGGACAGAGGAGACAGGUGGUGCAUGGUUGUCGUCAGCUCGUGUCGUGAGAUGUUGGGUUAAGUCCCGCAACGAGCGCAACCCUUGUCCUUAGUUGCCAGCGAGUCAAGUCGGGCACUCUAAGGAGACUGCCGGUGACAAACCGGAGGAAGGCGGGGAUGACGUCAAAUCAUCAUGCCCCUUAUGACCUGGGCUACACACGUACUACAAUGGCCGGUACAACGGGCAGCGAGAGGGCGACCUUGAGCGAAUCUCAUAAAACCGGUCUCAGUUCGGAUUGCAGGCUGCAACUCGCCUGCAUGAAGUCGGAAUUGCUAGUAAUCGCGGAUCAGCAUGCCGCGGUGAAUACGUUCCCGGGUCUUGUACACACCGCCCGU
rnacentral:rRNA from 1 species